GUGGGGGUAAAUUUGCUGCUCCACUUCAGAUGGCAAAAUGCAUUGAGCCAGCCUGGUACCACUCCAAGAAGGUAAUAAGUCAACUGCAUCCUAAGGCUUUCAGUACAGUUUAUAGAUGUGGAAAAAAAUGAAGUGGGUAUGUUGUGUAUCGUUAUAUGCUUCAUGUUUGAGCACAAAUUCUUGCUUGGUGGCAGAUCGUGGCAAGAGAAAGAGGGUAAUUGUAAUAGUCCCCAGGUUGGGGCCUGACCAGGUAAAUUCAUUAUAAUUGAUUUGAGAAUUUCUAAAUCCUUAUUGGCUAAAGAUUCUACUCACUUUCUUUUAUUUUAAUGCUAUGACUUUUUAUUUCAACAGUUAGAAGUAGUGGACUGUUAGGAAAAUUUUGAAGUUGUUCGGUUCAUGGAAAAAGGCAAGAAAAGAGAAAAAUAAAAUCAAGGAUGGGGACUUGCCACUCACGACUUGCUGUUGAGUCGGAUUUAAGUUGCACCUGUGACUGAACUUGGACUUGACUCAGCAUUUUUUAAAAAAAGACUUCGACUUGAGACAUGACUCAGACCCAUUUUCCUGAGUCGUGAUUUGGGAGGGAGCAGUGGGCCUUCAACAAUAUGGUCUGCUGCCCCUUGAGGCAUGGCUGCAACAGGGCAGCCACCCACAGACUCUGAAAAUGUGUCUCGAGGCAGCCCAGAGCAGCCCCAUUGCCCUGGCAACACCAACUUUGUUUGGGUCACUAGACUGCUCUGAGGAGGCAGCGCCCCAGGCCUCCUUACUGGGCAACAUCCCAGAAUGCAUCAGGUGAGGGCUUCUGCCAGGCAACACUGCCAGGCCGCUGCCAUUUUGCCAGCUGCUCUGAGGGAGGAGGAGGAGGAAGAUGCUGGUGCCACCAUGGAGAACAGAGACCCACAGGUGCCCUGAUGAUGAGAAAUUCAGGAUUGGAGCAAUGGAAGAAAUAUCCCCAGUGAAGUGGCUCUUAUUUCUAAGAUGGAAGCUCAGUGGCACUGAUAGGAAGUGUCCGCUUGUACAAAAUUGCAGUUUUGUGGUAGAGUGACUUCCACUGUGGCAGAGAAAGAGAGAUGAAAGAAGCCUUUCCACAUGCUGCAGUUCUGACUGAAAUCAGUCUGCCUAUGUCUACUGUUUAGAGCAGAGACCUGCAACAUCUGGCCUUCCAGAUAUUAUUGUAAGUUCUAGUGAGGAACGAUGUGGAUUGCAGUGCAGCAACAUCUGGAGUCCCAUAAGUUACCCAGCUUUAAAGCAAUAAAAAAGACUCAUGGGAUGCA
rnacentral:lncRNA from 1 species